rnacentral:rRNA from 1 species
UGCCAGCAGCCGCGGUAAUACAGAGGUGGCAAGCGUUGUUCGGUAUCACUGGGCUUAAAGGGCACGUAGGCGGCGCAGUACGGUUCGGGUGAAAUCCCUCGGCUCAACCGAGGAACUGCCCGGGCAACGGCUGUGCUAGACGGCAUCAGGAGAAGGUGGAACUCUCGGUGGAGCGGUGAAAUGCGUAGAUAUCGGGAGGAACGCCGGUGGCGAAAGCGACCUUCUGGGGUGUUCGUGACGCUGAGGUGCGAAAGCUAGGGGAGCGAACGGGAUUAGAUA